UGGGGAAUAUUUCACAAUGGGCGCAAGCCUGAUGCAGCCAUGCCGCGUGUGUGAAGAAGGCCUUCGGGUUGUAAAGCACUUUCAGCGGGGAGGAAGGCGUUAAGGUUAAUAACCUUGGCGAUUGACGUUACCCGCAGAAGAAGCACCGGCUAACUCCGUGCCAGCAGCCGCGGUAAUACGGAGGGUGCAAGCGUUAAUCGGAAUUCCUGGGCGUAAAGCGCACGCAGGCGGUCUGUCAAGUCGGAUGUGAAAUCCCCGGGCUAAACCUGGGAGCUGCAUUCGAAAGUGGCAGGCUAGAGUCUUGUAGAGGGGGGGAGAAGUCCAGGUGUAGCGGUGAAAUGCGUAGAGAUCGGGAGGAAUACCGGUGGCGAAGGCGGCCCCCGGGACAAAGACUGACGCUCAGGUGCGAAAGCGUGGGGAGCAAACAGG
rnacentral:rRNA from 1 species